rnacentral:rRNA from 1 species
AUUAAACGCUGGCGGCAUGCCUUACACAUGCAAGUCGAACGGCGGCACGGGGGCAACCCUGGUGGCGAGUGGCGAACGGGUGAGUAAAGCAUCGGAACGUGCCCUGGAGUGGGGGAUAACGUAGCGAAAGUUACGCUAAUACCGCAUAUUCUGUGAGCAGGAAAGCAGGGGAUCGCAAGACCUUGCGCUCUGGGAGCGGCCGAUGUCGGAUUAGCUAGUUGGUGGGGUAAAGGCCUACCAAGGCGACGAUCCGUAGCGGGUCUGAGAGGAUGAUCCGCCACACUGGGACUGAGACACGGCCCAGACUCCUACGGGAGGCAGCAGUGGGGGAAUUUUUGGACAAUGGGCGAAAGCCUGAUCCAGCCAUGCCGCGUGAGUGAAGAAGGCCU